UGGCAGCUAUAGAUCCAAUCUCAUUGUUGCAACACAUCUAAAAGAAAGAAUAAUAAACCGUUAUUAAAGUACUGGACUCAGAAGGAUCUAACUCCACACCUCAACCCUUAACAUUUGAAUAGCAAAAGUUACAUUUAAGAAAAAGUUGAGACCUUCAUAAUGACAUCUUCCUCAUGCUUUGGUGCUAGCAGAAAUUUUGGUGAUGACCAGGCAUUGACCCUCAACCCCCUCCUCUCCCCCAAGAGUUCAGGGAGAAGGUGGAGCUUACAAUAUGCACAUGGGCAAGUUCAUCUCCCAGCGGAAAGUCAAUAUGGGCAAGGUGAAAGGUGGCAUCCGUUGAGCCUGGCUGUAGAUCAGAGGGAUGACCAUCGAUGAGGCCAGGGACUACAAGUUUGAGUAUGAGAAGGUGUCAUACGGGGGUAAGUUUUGUGAGAGAAUGGGCCACCUGAUCCAUGAUUGCAAGUGGAAGAAAAAGAGGAAGACGCAACUAAAGAACUGAGGGGACAUAGAGGGAAAGAAGCGGUGGUGGAGGACGAUGCGUUAUCGCCUCGUCUGAAGAUGGAAGAAAUGCGCUCUCCUAUGCCUGGCUUUGCGUGGCUCCACUUCCGAGAUGUGCACAAGAGAGAGGAAUUACCUGCCUAUCACACAAUGACUCCCUUGUCAGUGACUACUCGCUCAACGGAAACAACCCCUAUAUCAUAGGUUUUGAUUGGUCACAUACACAUCAUCAUUGUCUAAUCUAGUUAUGCCUAUCUUAUCCUAAUCUUUACUAUAGAUUACUCGCUACUGUACAACCAUCAAAAGAAAAUCCAAUCAUAGGAUUCUACAUCAUCUAUCUAUAGUUCUACCUUGGAUAAGGCAGUAACUAAACAUGAACCCUAAUCUGUGACCCUAAUCUAAAUGUGAGCUUUCAACCCUUCCAAAAACAUCUGCU
rnacentral:lncRNA from 1 species